GGGGGAAUUAGGAAAUAUAGGCACAAAGAUUUGUUCUAACCAGUUGAUUCUAUAGUCUUUUACAUCUGACUUUUAAUCAGGUGGUCGAGCGUUCGAAUCGCUCACGCCCCACCA
rnacentral:tRNA from 1 species